CCUACGGGUGGCAGCAGUGGGGAAUAUUGCUCAAUGGGGGAAACCCUGAAGCAGCGACGCCGCGUGAGUGAAGACUUCAUUCGUUUUGUAAAGCUCUUUCUGCAGGGAAGAAAAUGACGGUACCUGAGUAAGAAGCCCCGGCUAACUACGUGCCAGCAGCCGCGGUAAUACGUAGGGGGCAAGCGUUAUACGGAUUUACUGGGUGUAAAGGGUGCGUAGUCGGGAGUGGAAGUUCGGCGGGAAAUGCGGGGGCUCAACCCCAGAACUGCAGUGGAAACGGUUCGUCUGGAGUGGAGGAGAGGUAAGGGGAAGUCGUGGUGUAGCGGUGAAAUGCGUAGAUAUGAGGAGGAACUCCGAUUGCGAAGGCAGCAUACCGGACUGUAACUGACGUUGAGGCUCGAAAGCGUGGGGAGCAAACAGGAUUAGAUACCCGUGUAGUC
rnacentral:rRNA from 1 species